rnacentral:rRNA from 1 species
CCCUUAGAUGUUCUGGGCCGCACGCGCGCUACACUGACGAAUGCAACGAGCUUAUAACCUUGGCCGAAAGGUCUGGGUAAUCUCCAAAUUUCGUCGUGAUGGGGAUAGAUUAUUGCAAUUAUUAAUCUUCAACGAGGAAUACCUAGUAGGCGCAUGUCAUCAGCGUGCGUCGAUUACGUCCCUGCCCUUUGUACACACCGCCCGUCGCUCCUACCGAUUGAAUGAUCCGGUGAGGCCCCCGGAAUGUGGCAACGGCUUCGGUUCGCCGAACUGAUGCUGCGUGAAGCUGUCCAAACCUUAUCAUUUAGAGGAAGGAGAAGUCGUAACA